GUGCCAGCAGCCGCGGUAAUACGAAGGGUGCAAGCGUUAAUCGGAAUUACUGGGCGUAAAGCGUGCGUAGGUGGUUUGUUAAGUCUGAUGUGAAAGCCCUGGGCUCAACCUGGGAAUGGCAUUGGAUACUGGCUUACUAGAGUGCGGUAGAGGGAUGCGGAAUUUCCGGUGUAGCGGUGAAAUGCGUAGAGAUCGGAAGGAACAUCUGUGGCGAAGGCGGCAUCCUGGACCAGCACUGACACUGAGGCACGAAAGCGUGGGGAGCAAACAGGAUUAGAAACCCGCGUAGUCC
rnacentral:rRNA from 1 species